rnacentral:lncRNA from 1 species
UCAUAUCUCAACCAUUCUCAGUUUUAUUGUUGACAUUUAAAAGUUAAUAUCUUAAUACAGCUUUAAAGACAUAAAAUUCCUAAUGUUAAUGUAUGCUCUUUAUCAGUUUAUUUUAUUAUUAAUUUUCCACAAUUAGACUAAUUUUCAAAGAGGGUUCUCUUCAAGCACUCCCACUUCCUCCAUUAAUAAAACAGACUAAAAUAAGGAAGCAAUCAUGGAGAAUUCAAGGGGAGUUAACGGUAUUUUGUUUGAGUUAGAUGUUUUGCAUAAAGCGAGAAAACAUUUUUUUUU